rnacentral:rRNA from 1 species
GAUGAACGCUGGCGGCGUGCCUAAUACAUGCAAGUCGAGCGAACAGACGAGGAGCUUGCUCCUCUGACGUUAGCGGCGGACGGGUGAGUAACACGUGGAUAACCUACCUAUAAGACUGGGAUAACUUCGGGAAACCGGAGCUAAUACCGGAUAAUAUAUUGAACCGCAUGGUUCAAUAGUGAAAGACGGUUUUGCUGUCACUUAUAGAUGGAUCCGCGCCGCAUUAGCUAGUUGGUAAGGUAACGGCUUACCAAGGCGACGAUGCGUAGCCGACCUGAGAGGGUGAUCGGCCACACUGGAACUGAGACACGGUCCAGACUCCUACGGGAGGCAGCAGUAGGGUAUCUUCCGCAAUGGGCGAAAGCCUGACGGAGCAACGCCGCGUGAGUGAUGAAGGUCUUCGGAUCGUAAAACUCUGUUAUUAGGGAAGAACAAAUGUGUAAGUAGCUAUGCACGUCUUGACGGUACCUAAUCAGAAAGCCACGGCUAACUACGUG